rnacentral:rRNA from 1 species
UGGGGAAUAUUGGGCAAUGGGCGAAAGCCUGACCCAGCAACGCCGCGUGAAGUAUGAAGGCCUUCGGGUUGUAAACUUCUUUGAUCAGGGAAGAAACAAAUGACGGUACCUGAAAAACAAGCCACGGCUAACUACGUGCCAGCAGCCGCGGUAAUACGUAGGUGGCGAGCGUUAUCCGGAUUUACUGGGUGUAAAGGGCGUGCAGGCGGGCUGAUAAGUCAGAUGUGAAAUCCCCGAGCUUAACUCGGGAACUGCAUCUGAUACUGUUGGUCUUGAGUGCUGGGGAGAAUAGUGGAAUUCCUAGUGUAGCGGUAAAAUGCGCAGAUAUUAGGAGGAACACCAGUGGCGAAGGCGGCUAUCUGGACAGUAACUGACGCUGAGGCGCGAAAGCGUGGGUAGCAAACAGG